UUGCUUAACUUACCAUCUAAAACUGACUCAGUCGCUCAAAGCAGACAGUCAGCACAUUCUGUAACAAGCACAUUGUCAUCUCUACAUCACGCCUGCAGUGGAAUCCAAAGAGGUUCAGCGCUUGAUAAUUGACGUUGGCGAAGAGAAAAACAUUUAAUGCCUGCAGAUAUGCCCUGUGGAUUGUUCCGAAUCACCAGAGAGAGACGGAGUGAAACACAGAGCACGCUCCCUGAUCCCUGCAGCUUUACAUAAUGUGAUAUCCGGCCACCACAUGACCACUGAGGAUUGCCAGGGAUUACACAAGGGAGUGGACGACCCUGUAAAUAGACAGACGCCUGAACUGUGUUGCUGCUCUGCCCUCUGACUUCUAAACCCGACUCGUCCACGAAGACGUGCUCUCAGAGAACUCGACCGACAGCCUCGCUACCUUUCACAUGGACUGUAAAAUGAUCUUUGGACCAUCUGAUGUCGAAGCAGCGAUGGCGGGAAACUGGAGCAGUGAAGCUAAUAUAGCCGCUCACCAGAUCCCUGUGGAGCACCCAGUUGGCAUGGAGGUAAUGGAUCCCAUCCAGAAUCUGAUACAGGAGAGACUUCACCAUCCCUCGGGGCAGCUGCAUGGGCUUCUUGUUGGCCUUGGAGGCGCGGUGGAACUUGAUGAUGUGCUACGACGCAGAGAAAGUUUCAGGCAAAGGCGGCUCAGGCCGUGCUUCGACAUGUUCAGGGACGGAGGGCGGGCUGUGUGACUGCCAUCAUCACACUGAACCGUUCUCUGCUGCUGAGACGCUGAUCGUCAACGAGGGCUAGAGUCAAACUGUGCGACGAACUGUCAAAAUAUUCCACACAACAGCACGCGGCGCAGCGAAACCAGAUGUCCAGAUGAGAAAGUGACGCAGACAUACAAGCUCUCAUUGGACUGACUCCAAGUCUCGGUCUAGGCUGCCAGUCUAGGUCUCAACAGGAUCGAUCGGGACACAACAACCCCGCCGCCACCCCUCCAAAACAAAGAGGACUUUUUAAUACUGAAUUCAGAUCCAGAAAUGUAUUUAUUUUUAAAUAAAACUAUGCAGUAUCAGAUCAAUGUGUUAUAAUAACUUACAAGUUAACAUCAGAGGAGGUGAACUAUGGUUCCAUAAUUUAUAAUUAAUCCAUAAUAGUGUAUAUUCUCUCUCUCUCUCUCUC